AUUGAACGCUGGCGGCAGGCCUAACACAUGCAAGUCGAACGAGUGGCGGACGGGUGAGUAAUGUCUGGGAAACUGCCUGAUGGAGGGGGAUAACUACUGGAAACGGUAGCUAAUACCGCAUACCAUCAGAUGUGCCCAGAUGGGAUUAGCUUGUUGGUGGGGUAACGGCUCACCAAGGCGACGAUCCCUAGCUGGUCUGAGAGGAUGACCAGCCAGACUGGAACUGAGGCCCGGUGCAGUCUGCUUCGGGCGGAAGCCUUGGGGAAUAUUGCCCAAUGGGGGCAAGCCUUAUGCAGCCAUGCCGCGUGUAUGAAAGAGGCCUUCGGGUUGUAAAGUACUUUCAGCGGGGAGGCGUUACCCGCAGAAGAAGCACCGGCUAACUCCGUGCCAGCAGCCGCGGUAAUAC
rnacentral:rRNA from 1 species